CACGUAGGGGACGAGCGUUGUCCGGAUUCAUUGGGCGUAAAGCGCGCGUAGGCGGCUCGGAAAGUCGGGCGUGAAAUGCCGGGGCUCAACCCCGGGACUGCGUCCGAAACUGGCAGGCUUGAAUCCGGGAGAGGGAUGCGGAAUUCCAGGUGUAGCGGUGAAAUGCGUAGAUAUCUGGAGGAAUACCGGUGGCGAAGGCGGCAUCCUGGACCGACAUUGACGCUGAGGAGCGAAAGCUAGGGGAGCAAACGGG
rnacentral:rRNA from 1 species